rnacentral:rRNA from 1 species
GGUCCCUACGGGGGGCAGCAGUGGGGAAUAUUGCACAAUGGGGGAAACCCUGAUGCAGCGACGCCGCGUGAGUGAAGAAGUAUUUCGGUAUGUAAACUUCUUUUAUCAGGGACGAAGCAAGUGACGGUACCUGAUGAAUAAGCCACGGCUAACUACGUGCCAGCAGCCGCGGUAAUACGUAGGUGGCAAGCGUUAUCCGGAUUUACUGGGUGUAAAGGGCGUGUAGGCGGGAGUGCAAGUCAGAUGUGAAAACUAUGGGCUCAACCCAUAGCCUGCAUUUGAAACUGUACUUCUUGAGUGCUGGG